GACUAUCAUCAGAUUCUGUUUUCUCAAGAUCAUGCUGUCUCCUGAGUAAAAUGAGGCAUCUUUUGGUUAAAACUGUGAAAGAAACCAAUUAGGUGCGGAACUCAGCCAAGUAAUAUUUCUAAUUCGGACCAGUUUCUGAGAGUCUGUGUCCUAGAAGGAAGCAUACUGCCUGGGUGUGUCUUUGGAUUCUAGGUAAGGUCAAGUGCUGUCUGUGGACACAGAGGAGAUGGUUCCACCUUGCCACCGGGCAGAUCAGUUCUGGCAGAGUGGAAUCCAAGGGCUACCAGUGUCAGGAAUAUGGAAUUGGGCUAUUUAUCUGCUUUGCCUUAAAACGUUCUCUUAUAAUUUUUUUCUUUUUUCAGUGCUGUCUGGGACCGAGGGAAAAUGACAACAAACAAUUCGACCUUGAACUUACUUCAAGAUCCUGUACCCAGCACUGCGUUAAAAGCUCUAUUUCGGCACUCACUCGGAUUAAAGCACUGCUCAAAACACAGCCUUGCCAACUUGGCUCCAGGGGAGAAGCAGCCACUGGAACAAUGCAGGCAAUUUAAUCGUGUUGCAGAGAGGAGGAAGCCCGAGGAAGCUCUACCGGAAUGGAAUGUAAUUCCCCAGUCCCAACAGGAAAAGUGAAAGUGGGGCUGAGGUGGACGAAAGGCAACAUCCAAAGUGGCAUGAAAAUUA
rnacentral:lncRNA from 1 species